rnacentral:rRNA from 1 species
UGGGGAAUAUUGCACAAUGGGCGCAAGCCUGAUGCAGCCAUGCCGCGUGUAUGAAGAAGGCCUUCGGGUUGUAAAGUACUUUCAGUCGGGAGGAAGGUGGUAAGGUUAAUAACCUUAUCAAUUGACGUUACCGACAGAAGAAGCACCGGCUAACUCCGUGCCAGCAGCCGCGGUAAUACGGAGGGUGCAAGCGUUAAUCGGAAUUACUGGGCGUAAAGCGCACGCAGGCGGUUGAUUGAGUCAGAUGUGAAAUCCCCGGGCUCAACCUGGGAAUUGCAUCUGAUACUGGUCAGCUAGAGUCUUGUAGAGGGGGGUAGAAUUCCAUGUGUAGCGGUGAAAUGCGUAGAGAUGUGGAGGAAUACCGGUGGCGAAGGCGGCCCCCUGGACAAAGACUGACGCUCAGGUGCGAAAGCGUGGGGAGCAAACAGG